rnacentral:rRNA from 1 species
UACAGAGGCCUCAAGCGUUGUUCGGAUUCAUUGGGCGUAAAGGGAGCGUAGGCGGUCGGGUAAGUCGGAUGUGAAAUCCUGGGGCUCAACCUCAGAACUGCAUUCGAUACUGCUCGGCUAGAGUGUUGGAGAGGUGAGUGGAAUUCACGGUGUAGCAGUGAAAUGCGUAGAUAUCGUGAGGAAGACCAGCGGCGAAGGCGGCUCACUGGACAACUACUGACGCUGAGGCUCGAAGGCUAGGGGAGCAAACGGG